rnacentral:rRNA from 1 species
UACAGAGGUCUCAAGCGUUGUUCGGAUUCAUUGGGCGUAAAGGGUGCGUAGGUGGCGCGCUAAGUCAGGUGUGAAAUCUCGGAGCUUAACUCCGAAACUGCAUUUGAUACUGGCGUGCUUGAGGACUGGAGAGGAGACUGGAAUUCACGGUGUAGCAGUGAAAUGCGUAGAUAUCGUGAGGAAGACCAGUGGCGAAGGCGGGUCUCUGGGCCGAUACUGACGCUGAGGAGCGAAAGCGUGGGGGAGCGAACAGG